rnacentral:rRNA from 1 species
AGCAUAUCAAUAAGCGAGAAAGAAACCACAGGAUGCCUCAGUAACGGCGAGUGAAGCGGCAACAGCUCAAAUUUGAAAUCUGGCCCUCUCAGGGUCCGAGUUGUAAUUUGGAGAAGAUGCUUCGGGUGCGGCGCCGGUCUAAGUUCCUUGGAACAGGACGUCACAGAGGGUGAGAAUCCCGUACGUGCCCGGUGGCCGCCCUAUGUGAAGCUCUUUCGACGAGUCGAGUUGUUUGGGAAUGCAGCUCAAAAUGGGUGGUAAAUUUCAUCUAAAGCUAAAUACUGGCCAGAGACCGAUAGCGCACAAGUAGAGUGAUCGAAAGAUGAAAAGCACUUUGGAAAGAGAGUUAAACAGUACGUGAAAUUGUUGAAAGGGAAGCGCUUGCAACCAGACUUGCGCGCGGUCGAUCAUCCGGUGCUCGCACCGGUGCACUCGGCCGCGCGCAGGCCAGCAUCGGCCUGGGUGGCUGGACAAAGGCCUCGGGAAUGUGGCUCCCUCCGGGGAGUGUUAUAGCCCGAGGCGCAAUGCAGCCCACCUGGACCGAGGACCGCGCUCCGGCUAGGAUGCUGGCGUAAUGGUUGCAAGCGACCCGUCUUGAAACACGGACCAAGGAGUCUAACAUCUAUGCGAGUGUUUGGGUGUCAAACCCAUACGCGUAAUGAAAGUGAACGGAGGUGAGAACCCUGAAGGGCGCAUCAUCGACCGAUCCUGAUGUCUUCGGAUGGAUUUGAGUAAGAGCAUAGCUGUUGGGACCCGAAAGAUGGUGAACUAUGCCUGAAUAGGGUGAAGCCAGAGGAAACUCUGGUGGAGGCUCGCAGCGGUUCUGACGUGCAAAUCGAUCGUCAAAUUUGGGCAUAGGGGCGAAAGACUAAUCGAACCAUCUAGUAGCUGGUUCCUGCCGA